UUAAAUACAUUGAAGAGGAAUAGUAGGGUUUUAUAAGCGUACAGAGAGCUGUUGGUUGGUGCAAAACAGUCGUAGACAAAAUCCGAACUCGCCUUGAAGUAGCUCGCUGAAAUUUUUAAGAGUAGGUGGAGACGGAGCCUAACCGUUACAGUAGGAGGAUAUAGGUUUUAUAAAACCCGUGUCUGUCUGAGUGCAUACCAAUUUGGUAUGAAUUAGAGUGGUACCGCGUGAGAUUUUAACAGUCUUUCGUCUCUUUU
rnacentral:ncRNA from 1 species